AUCCAGUUGACGAGUCCCAAAUGAGACGAAAUGCACAUGCUAGAU
rnacentral:hammerhead_ribozyme from 1 species